rnacentral:rRNA from 1 species
AGUGAACGCUGGCGGUAGGCCUAACACAUGCAAGUCGAACGGCAGCACAGUAAGAGCUUGCUCUUACGGGUGGCGAGUGGCGGACGGGUGAGGAAUACAUCGGAAUCUACUUUUUCGUGGGGGAUAACGUAGGGAAACUUACGCUAAUACCGCAUACGACCUACGGGUGAAAGCAGGGGAUCUUCGGACCUUGCGCGAUUGAAUGAGCCGAUGUCGGAUUAGCUAGUUGGCGGGGUAAAGGCCCACCAAGGCGACGAUCCGUAGCUGGUCUGAGAGGAUGAGCCGGCCACAGGGAGUGGACAGCCGGACCGGGACCCAAGGGGGGGCAGGAGGGGGAAAUGUGGAAAAAGGGGGGAAAACUGAACCAAGCGAGCCCGGGUGGGGAAAGAAGGCCUUGGGGUGGAAAACCCCUUUUGGGGGGAAAAAAACGCACGAGGUUAACCCCCCUUUUUUUGAGGGUUCCCAAAAAAAAAACCCCGGCUAACUUCGUG